rnacentral:lncRNA from 1 species
AAAAACUCAGUUGAAACUCCACCAUCUUUUAUCUGGAUUUCAUGAGGUUUUGUGAUAAUAAUUUCUUCUUUGAUGUUGAGCUAUAUUUCCUCAUCUUUUAUUAGUUGUUUGUAAAAAAGUGUGAUUUCUAAAGUAUGUUUUUUAAGAGAUAUCAUUUUGGUAAAUUCCACUGGAUGCUUAUUUGAUUAUAAUGGCCGUUAACCUCUGAUGGAAAAUUGGUAUUCGCUGGGAUUGUGCUUCUUAUGUUUCAUUCUAAAAUGUAAGAUUAAGACCAAUGGCUAAGCUUGAGUCGUGGUUUGAUAAGCCUCUUGGUUUGGCAGAUGGUUCAACCCACUUUGUUAGAUUGACUGUUCAUUUUUCUCUCUCUAAAGCUCCGGAACUAGGGGCGGAGCCAGCUUAGGACCAGUGCGGGCUAAACUUCUGGUGCUCUCUGCAUCUGAUUAUGGUGCCUUUCUUCAACUGGUGCUCUCUUGGUUUGAUUAUGGUGUUUUUCAUUUUUAAAGCUGAAGCCCCACACGUCUGCCCGCACUGAACUUCUGGUGCUCUCUGCAUCUGAUUAUGGUGCCUUUCUUCAACUGGUGCUCUCUUGGUUUGAUUAUGGUGUUUUUCUUUUUUAAAGCUGAAGCCCCACACGUUGGCAAAUGGCAAUGAGUGAAAAAGCCCAACAAAUGCCCAAUAAGGUAAUACCAUCAACCAAUAUUCCAACCCAAUUUUCAAUUUCAACCCAUUUGUAAUUCAUUCUUCAUUCUUCCAUGCUCCACCCGUGUCCGCCGACCUCCCACCUCCGAGUCUUUGACUUUUAUCUGCCGCCUCCGACGUUGAACUUCUCAAUCGAGGCAGCCGGCAGACCUUUGAGCCCUAGACGUAGGUCACGCAAGUAGCAUCAGCACCUUUGAAAUAGAGUCCUUGAACUUCUCAAGACGCGGCAGCCGGCAGCCGAUCCUGAGUCCUUGACCUUCGAUUCGCGACGCCAUCACCGGCACAACAGAAGAAGAAGGUGCGCCCCUUGAUUUUGACUCCUGAACUCUAAAGCCUACUCAAGUUUUUGUUCAGUUUUUAUCUGUUCACUGUUAUUUACUUAUUUUGAUUUGUGUAGUUGUAAUUAUUUCUUUUUAACAUAUGAAAUUACUUUUGAAAUGCUUGAAGUCCUAAAUUGCUUUUGAAUGCUCUUGAAAUUAGACCUAGGAGCCUCAGGCCUGUGAAGCCCUCGAGCCUGAUUGACUGAUUCAGUAAUUCCUGAAGCAUGCUACCAGCCUACUCAAGUUUCAGUGUUAAUGGACUCACUACUCCGUGACUGUGAGUUCACUUACUCUGUGACUGAAGCUUGAUUCCAAUUUCAUGUUGCUAAAAUGCUAAAUUGCUAAUGCUACCUCUGUGACUGUGAAAUCAUUCUGUAAUUGUGAGUUGCUAAUCAUUCAUGACUAAAAACUCGACGGCGCGGACAAAAUUGUGCCCGCACUAAAAAAGAAUCCUGGCUCCGCCCCUGCCUCACACUGAAACUGAACCUAAAACCUAUGAAGAAUUCACAAUAUACAUCUAUUCAAUAUUGCCAACUUGUCAGAGAUAGGGAAAUGAGACUAGUUAGGUAUAACCUUAGAUAUGAAUCAUAGAAUCUGACAGACUUUGCCUUAGUUUUUGGUGAAGUUUUAGAACAUUUAGAAUCUUCGUCUUUUGAAAAAGCUAUAAAUGGUUUGAAAUCUAGAAAUUGGAAAAUAGCAAUGGAAAAGGAAAUGAAAUCCUUAAUUGAUAAUAAAACUUGGAAACUGGUUAAGAGGUCAAAAAAUCAGAGAAUUGCUCAAUAUAAACGGAUUUUUAAAUUGAAGGAUGGAAAUAACCCUUUUGAUCCCUUGAGGUAUAAACUAAGGCUUGUCGCUAAAGGCUUCAUUCAAAUGGAGGGAAUUGACUAUAAUGAAAUAUCCUCUCUUUUGAUUUAGUAGAAGACCAUAAGGCUGAUUUCUGCUUUAGUUGUUUAAUUCAACUAGGAACUUGAACAAUUAGAUAUCAAGAUUGCCUUUUUAUAUGGAGAAUUAGAAGAGGACAUUUACGCGAGUCAACCUCAAGGUUUUGAGGUGAAGAAAAAAAACCAAAUUUUGUGUGUAAACUGGAAAGAUUACUAUAUGGACUUAAACAAAGGCCAAGAUAGUUGCACAAAAGAUUUGACUCAUAUGUAUUGAAAUUUGAUUUUAAAAGAAGUGAAUAUGAUCCCUGUUAUACUACAAUAAUGCUAAAUGUGGUAGUGAAGUUUACUUACUACUAUACAUAAAUGAUAUGCUGUUAGCUAGCUGCACAUUUGAACUUGUCUACUGCAUACUUACCUAAAACGGAAAAGGAGAUAAGCGAAAUGGGAAACAUAUUUUAUGCAAAUUUCACUGGCUCUAAGUUUUUCAUGAUUACUAUUAGACCUGACUUGGCCUAUGCCAUCACUUUUCUUAGUAAAUUCAAGUCUAAUCUUGGAAACCCCCACUGGGCCUGGUUGAAAUGGGUAUUAUGAUAUAUUGUAGGAACUUUAAACAUAGGACUAGUAUAUGAGAAGAGGCCUAAAAAAAUUAACGCCUAAUGCAAAUGCUGAUUUUGCUGGUGAUAAAGACCAGAGAAAAUCCACUACUACUUAAUUUUUUACAUUAGGAGAUAAUUGCAUUAUAUGGAAAUCUCAGUUACAAUCUAUUAUUACAUUGUCCAGCAAAGAAGCUGAAUAUGUAGCAAAAACUGAAGUUAUGCAAGAAAGUAUACGAUUGAAAGGCGUUUAAAGUGAAUUGAAUUUUUUACAUGAUUAUCCUAUUAUUCUCACUGAUAGUCAGAAUGCAUAGUAAAAAUUCUGUCUAUCAUAAGAGGUCCAAACGUAUUGAGGUGAAUUAUCAUUUCAUAUGAGAAAAGAUAGCCUUAGGUGGAGUUAGUCUUGAAAAAAUUCACGUCGAUAAAAAUCCAUUAAAUAUGGGCACUAAAGUCCGUUCUAUUGGCAAGUUUAGAUUAUGUUGACCAAUUCAUCAUACUAAUACUAGUUAAUUCUUUUGCAGGUAUUUGGGCAAUGAUGAUGGAUUAAAAAAUUUUGAUAUGCACUUUAGCAACUAGAGAAGGUCUAUUUAUUUGAGAACCAAGGUGAAGAUUGAAGAAGUGUGAUUCUCUAAAGUGCAUUUUUAAGAGGUCAUGUUGGUGAAUUCCACUGGUUGCCUAUUUGAUGAUAAUGGCCGUUGCACUUGGCCACCUCUGAUUGGCACCCUGGUAUUCAUUAGGAUUGUGCUUCUUAUGUUUCCUUCUAAACCAUAUCAAUGGCUGAGCUUGAGUUUUGGUUUGGCAGAUGGUUCAACACACUUGGUUAGAUUGACUGUUCGUUUUCCUCUCUUCAAUGCUCUAAAAUUUUCUUCCUUAUUAUCUCUUUUUUUGGUUUCUCUUCCCGUUUUCUAGCCUAUAUUAAUCCCUGUAAUUUUAGCGUGCUACAGUAACUUCGCAUGCCUAAAAAAGUGGCAGUGUGUUUAGGUGAUUGUAUAGAGGUUAUAGGGAUGGUUUUACGUUCUAAAGGUUAGAACUUGGUUUUGGAAGUGGUAUAUGACUCUCACGAUCAAGAUCUCUAUCUGAUUUUGAUUUGAUGUACAUAGUGAUAAGAAAAAGAUGAAUUGUAUUAUUAUAAGCUCUUCUAAGUAUUACAAUAUAGAAAAC